rnacentral:lncRNA from 1 species
AAUUCGAGUAUUCCUUUAGAUAUAUACUUGUUUGGAAAAGGAAACAAAUUUUUCGCAAAUGGUUGUCAAAAUAGAAAAGCUAAAAUUUCUUUAAAUCAUGAACUGAUCAAUUCAGUUAUUCUCUUUCUUUUGAAUUACGAACUCCAAAUUUUCUUUUCUUUACUUUUAAGAGUUAAAAACUCUCAGAAAUAUGCUAAUUUUAUGUUCUCAAAGUUUAUUAGAGAUCAAGAAAUAAUUCUAAAAGGGAGAUAGCUAAAUUAAUUACAUAAAAUGGAUUUUGCAUUGUUUUAUAUGUUUGUAACAUGAUCAAGUUGGAUCUUAUGCUCCAAGGGAUUGCAUGAUCCAUAAGAUGGAUCUAGAUCUCAUUAUCCUAGCUGAUCCUAAUCCAAGGAUGAGAUCCAUAUACUGACAGCCACUUUGGUAUAGGAUUUUAGCAACCAUGGCUUCCAGAAUUAAGUAGGAUGGAUAACUCUGCCAUUUUACUAUUCCAGAUUUCUGACUUGUUUUAGUAUGGUGAAUGGACACUUAAUAGACUUGUCCUGCUGUUGAUAAUUAAUGUUCUUUUCAUUUUUUUUGAAGCACUAACUAACAGUUAUGU